CCUACGGGAGGCAGCAGUGAGGAAUAUUGGUCAAUGGCCGGAAGGCUGAACCAGCCAUGCCGCGUGAAGGUCAGUGCCCUAUGGGCGUUAAACUUCUUUUGUGCGGGAGCAAUAAUGGUCACGUGUGGCCAGACUAGAGUAACGUUCGAAUUAGCGUCGGCUAACUCCGUGCCCGCAGCCGCGGUAAUACGGGGGAUGCAAGCGUUAUCCGGAUUUAUUGGGUUUAAAGGGGGCGUAGGCUGUGAGGUAAGUCAGCGGUGAAAUGCCCCCGCUCAACGGGGGGAAGUGCCAUUGAUACUGCCGUGCUGGAAUGCGGAUGCCGUGGGAGGAAUGUGUGGUGUAGCGGUGAAAUGCAUAGAGAUCACACAGAACACCGAGUGCGAAGGCAUCUCACGAAUCCGCGAUUGACGCUGAUGCACGAAAGCGUGGGUAUCAAACAGGAUUAGAUACCCGAGUAGUC
rnacentral:rRNA from 1 species